UGAGUUCCGAGGGACUUGCUU
rnacentral:piRNA from 1 species